GGAAUGCAGGCUGGUUCACAGUGUAAGCAGCUAAGCAGAAAGAUUUCAUUCAUCUCGUUCAUUAAAAUUCAAAUAAUUAUAAAGUCAGAGAUGUUAACUUUUCAGUUAUUACAAUACAGCUGGCAAACAGAGACUGUUGCACCAACUGGGAGACUUGAAGCCUCAUCUUUGGUGGCCAGAAUAUAUUUUGCUGAGGAAAUCUGGCUGGAGGCCUUGGUGACUGCUUUUCAGAGCUUUUGUUGUACCAGAGUAAGGAGGAAAAGGGAUGGAUGUGGAAGCAAAUAUGCAGAAAGCAAAUGGACUGGAGGCUAUGCUGGGAAUACCUGGCCUCUCUUCUUAGCGAGGAUACAGAAACACUUUGGAUUUCCUGAGAUGGAACUUCUGGGUGAUUGGUCCUGGUGUUUUCAGAACUGUCUACUGCAUCCUGAACAUUUUCCAUGCAUCACUGACUGGGAACAUUUUAAGUUGGCGUCAAAGAUAGAGUCUGUGGGGAAGUCUGCACACAAAUAAUACUUCUUCAUUGUUCUUGCUCAGAAGUGUUCAUGCUUUUUGCAAGCUGUUUCACCCACUGUGGCAGAAGAGUAAACUAUAAAUAAUCAAUCAGUUUUUUUCCUUAGCAAGACAUAUUCUCAUUUUCAGAGCCAAUGUACCACUGGAUGACAGAAAGAGAAAGUGCUCAACUCCAUUAGCAUCAGCCAUCCAGUGGGGCCUGACUUGGCAGGCAUGUGAUAACAGCCAUGUAAGGAAGCACAGGAGAGGCCACACAGGAAGAUUAUAUAAAUGAGAACCACAGUUGUAGACAGAUAAUGAAAUACAAUGAGAUGGGCUGGAGUACACUGGGUGUCCUUUGGCAUAAGGAAACAAUCUAUUUUUUAUAAGCUUUUAUUCAAGAAAAAUGUCUUACAUUCACAUAUAUAGACCACAAUUUCCGAGAGUGGCAUAAAACAUAACUCCAAAUCUUGAAGUAGUCUCCUAAGCAGAGAUACUUAUGAAGCAAGAGUUACCUCUGAAAGUGCAGUGACAGUUCCCUGGAAUCAAGCCUUUGGCACCCUAUUUUAUUGUAUUUAGCUCUGAAGUUGGAGGGGAAGGUGAACAAUAGGGUAGUGAACACAGUGUUUGAGCUUGCAGAUUUGGUCAGGGUCAAUAAAAUUGUGUAGAGUGCCCUCACAGGCCAGAAGACAAAAAAAAAAAAAAAAAAAAAAAAAAAAAAAAAAAAAAAAGUGUGAUGUGUCACUGAACAGCUUCUGGAAGCUGCACUAGCAAGGACAUUGUGAGAUCCCUAGACCUAUUUCCACCCUAUCAAACUGGAUCUGGAGAUAUCACAACUAUUGUGGGAACUAUCCUGACUAUUCACGCAUGGUCUGCUGUAAGGUAUUUGCCAGCAGCUCUGGGCAUGGCCCGAGGCUACAAGAAACAAGAUGAGAAGCAAAAUGGUGGAGGACAUUUCGGUAUCAAUUCUGCUCACAGUGGCCAGGAGUGGAGGCAUAAAAGAAACUGUUCGAUACUUCUGUUUACAGAGAUAAGUGAAAGAGUCAUUGCCAAUAACUCCAUAGUAAUAGCAGAACCCUGUGGAUAACAGGAGCUGUGGUCUGGCCAUCAGGUCAUGCAAGUUCAAGAUACUGUUCCUGUAUUUCUCCUCUACUGCAC
ensembl:lncRNA